CCGGGACCACAAUUCCCAGAGACUUGACUUCGCGGCUUUUCUCUCUGUGUCGUGUGUCUCUUGGAGCUGGCUAGGCCGCUAGGCCCACAGCGCCGACGUGCUGCGUCGUGUCCAGUGUCAGGGUGUACUCUUUUGCCAGGCUUUCUGUUCUUUCAACCACUUUUGCCGGACAGGCCGUCGCAACUGGCCUGAGUAGUGACCUGGCGGGCCGCGCCUGCGCCUUGAAGCGUUUCCUGCCUGUCUGGUGGCGGCGGCCAUUUUGUUCAUCCUCCUCCUCCUCCUGCUCCUCCUGGUUGGAGCGCAGUGUCCGGAGCGGGCUGGGGGGGAGCGGACCGAGAGUGGGGUUCAGUACCUUUUCCUCUGUCCCCAGCCGGAGCCCGGAGCCCCCCUCCCCUUCCUUCCCACCCCCUCCCCUCCCCAGCCCUGCCCUCCCCCUUGUCCCGGGAUCACUCCGUCGCACCCACCAUGAUGGAAGACGACGGACAGCCCCGGACUCUAUACGUAGGUAACCUCUCCAGAGAUGUGACAGAAGUCCUUAUACUCCAGUUAUUCAGUCAGAUCGGACCCUGUAAAAGCUGUAAAAUGAUAACAGAGCAACCCGAUAGCAGAAGGGUCAACUCUUCUGUUGGAUUUUCUGUUUUGCAGCAUACAAGCAAUGAUCCAUAUUGCUUUGUGGAAUUUUAUGAACACAGAGAUGCAGCUGCUGCAUUAGCUGCUAUGAAUGGCAGAAAAAUUUUGGGAAAGGAGGUCAAAGUAAACUGGGCAACAACACCAAGUAGCCAGAAAAAAGAUACUUCCAAUCACUUCCAUGUGUUUGUUGGGGAUUUGAGUCCAGAAAUUACAACAGAAGAUAUCAAAUCAGCAUUUGCCCCCUUUGGUAAAAUAUCGGAUGCCCGGGUAGUUAAAGACAUGGCAACUGGAAAGUCCAAAGGCUAUGGUUUUGUAUCUUUUUAUAACAAACUGGAUGCAGAAAAUGCAAUUGUGCACAUGGGGGGCCAGUGGUUGGGAGGUCGACAAAUCAGAACCAAUUGGGCCACACGUAAACCACCUGCCCCUAAAAGUACACAGGAAACUAACACUAAGCAGUUGAGAUUUGAAGAUGUAGUAAACCAGUCAAGUCCAAAAAAUUGUACUGUGUACUGUGGAGGAAUUGCUUCUGGGCUAACAGAUCAGCUUAUGAGACAAACAUUUUCACCAUUUGGACAAAUUAUGGAAAUUCGAGUUUUUCCAGAGAAGGGCUAUUCAUUUGUCAGAUUUUCAACUCAUGAAAGUGCAGCCCAUGCCAUUGUCUCUGUUAACGGUACUACAAUUGAAGGACAUGUGGUUAAAUGCUAUUGGGGUAAAGAAUCUCCUGAUAUGACUAAAAACUUCCAACAGGUAAUUCGAUUUUUCUUAGCACUUUCUAAGGUUUCCAUCUUACAUACCUACAUAGGAGCUUUGGAAAUUGUAAAAUAAACAGUAAAAUAAAACAUAUAGCUGCUUUCAGUUGAUUGUGUAAAUGCUAUUUCAAAAUUGUUUUGCGGUAUUAACUGAAUCUUAAUACUUUCUUUUCACAGGUGUCACCACCCCAAUAAACUUAGACAAUGAUAAAUAACAGAGUCCUAUUCACAUAAGGGUUGACUACAGUCAGUGGGGCCAGUGGAGCCAAGUGUAUGGAAACCCACAGCAGUAUGGGCAGUAUAUGGCAAAUGGGUGGCAAGUACCUCCCUACGGAGUCUAUGGGCAGCCAUGGAACCAACAAGGAUUCGGAGUAGAUCAAUCACCUUCUGCUGCUUGGAUGGGUGGAUUUGGUGCUCAGCCUCCUCAAGGACAAGCUCCUCCUCCUGUAAUACCUCCUCCAAACCAAGCUGGUUAUGGAAUGGCCAGUUUCCCAACACAGUGAGCUGGGACUCUAAACACAGUUGUAACUCACCAUAGGCUGCAAUUUCGUAUGACACUUUGAAGACAUGAAAAGUAAACAUCGGAAGUGAGAAUAUUUAUUUUAACAAUUGAAAUGUUGGAACCCUUAGCACAGCUUUGCCAGGGGAAGGACACGUGUCUUCUAGUUCUGCCUUUUUAAGUUUUUGUUCAUGAUGGAGAUGAACAUGAUUUUUCUUUGUGUACAAAAACUAAAAUAAAGUCAAUAAAGACAAUUCUGACUAUAAA